ACCUUAUAAACCCAUUACACGAAACAACGACACAUCGGGGUAGAUCCUCUUUAUCUAUUUCUUUAACCAACCACUCUCUCAAACACACACACAAACCACGUUCCGUUUCUCGAAAUUCCAACACUUCAAUUAAAAAAAAAAAAACCAACAUAUAUUUUGUUUACUACAACUGAAACAGUUACGAAACCUCUGCAUCUCUGCCGUCAACUCCGCUGCUUCGCACUCCGCUAAUUUAAACAAAGUUCCCAUCGAAACAUCGCUUUAUUUGGUUUGGUUUUGUCCUAAUUUGAAAAAUGACCGCGAUACGAGGAGCGGGGCCGUUGGUUUUUGGUUCUUCUUCGCUGGACUGCGAUGAAAUUGGACCGUUUUCGUCGUGGCGGUUUGCGAAGCUAGGGUUCGUGAGCCUCAAUGGUACUAAUGUGAUUGGGUUGGAUUACAGUGGAAAAACCGUACGGCUUAAUGUGAAUGUGAGAUCGAGCUUUCUCAAGCCAAUUAAAGCCAUGGGAGACUCUACCGCCGCCUCAUUUACCAAUACCAAUGAUUGUGCUGCUUCCAUUUCUUCUGGUGAAAAUCUCCACCAGAUGUCAACUGUAAGGAAGUCGACAAACAUCGCGUGGCAUAAGAGUUCAGUGGAGAAAUUUGAUAGGCAAGAGUUACUUCAGCAAAAAGGAUGUGUCAUCUGGAUAACCGGACUUAGUGGUUCAGGAAAAAGCACUUUGGCAUGUACUUUGAGUCGAGGAUUGCAUUCGAGAGGAAAGCUCACCUACAUUCUUGAUGGUGACAAUGUUCGACAUGGUUUGAACAGUGACCUUAGUUUUAAAGUAGAAGAUCGUGCAGAAAACAUACGUAGGAUUGGUGAGGUAGCAAAGCUCUUUGCAGAUGCUGGCAUCAUUUGCAUUGCUAGUUUGAUAUCUCCCUACAGGAAGGACAGAGAUGCCUGCCGUGCAUUAUUGCCAGAAGGAGAUUUCAUUGAGGUUUUUCUUGAUGUGCCACUACAAGUGUGUGAGGCAAGGGACCCAAAGGGACUUUACAAGCUUGCACGAUGUGGAAAGAUCAAAGGUUUUACAGGAAUCGAUGAUCCAUAUGAGCCACCAUUAAAUUGUGAGAUAGUAUUACAACAAAAGGGAGGAGACUCUGUGUCCCCAAGCGAUAUGGCUGAAACAGUUAUAUCUUACUUGGAGGAGAAAGGCUACCUGCAGGCUUAAUAUGAAGGAAGCAUCAAUUCCUGGUUGCUGAUGCUUCCUUUCAUGUGUAACAUAGUUUGAUGCAGACUGUAUAAGUGCUCCUUUCCCACGAUUAGGAAACAGCUCGUUUCCUUUGUCUAAUCUCAAAUAAGGGUAACGCCAGAGACCACCUCUAGAGGAAGAAGAAGAGGAAACAGACUUAACAGUCAAAGGAUGGGGCAUACCCAAUGUAUCAUUAUUCAUUACUCCUGUAUGCCUUCUAGACUUCUAGUUACAACGAAUUUUUCCUUCUUGAAUAAAUAUUAAAUUUUCCCUAUAUAAAUAAAUAAAUAAAUAAAAAAUAAAAAACAAAUGGAUGGGAUCAUUGGGUAGUUCACCCUGUCCCACUGCCAUUUAUUAAUAAGUGUUUAUUAUAAAUGGUUCACUUUAAAAGUUGAAUGGUUGUUUUGGGAGUGGCAUUGGCACUUAAAACUGAACUGAAAUUAAAGAAAAACAAUCUAGUAUUGGCAACUCAAAGGCUGGGUUGUGAAAGUCAAUAAUGCUAAUAAUAAGCCUAAUAAUUACACUACAAUGUAACGUCAUUAACUCAGUUUUAAUCAAUACUAGUACUAUUUAACUUGUUUUAAAGAAGUUAAAGUAGCCUGACUGUUAAAGGCAAUAAAUACCAUAUGUUCACAUUUUCAUAACAAUUUUAUUCCAAAAAAAAGAAAAGAAGAGAAAGCCAAAUAUAGCCAUUGUUGAAAAAGAAAGAAA